GCCGUUGAUCUCUAACUUCUGAUUACUUAUACGAUUAGGGUUCGGCGGGAGUUCCCUUGCAAUACCCUAAUUUCGAAGAUCGCUGUAUUUAAAUGGCAAUGCCAAUGUUGCAUCGCUGCCGUCUCACAUCCAAUGGCUCAUCUGUUCUAUACCUAAAUGGCAGAAAGAAGGUUUGCAGUUCAGGGGAUCUUAAGCCAUUGUUUCUUGUUUGAAUCCAAGGGCUGUCAAGUGUUCCUGAUACUUAUUUUGGGUCAUACUGUACUUUUGUAAAGGAAAGUUUAUACCCAAUUCUUCUUAUUUGAAAGCACUGUAUCGUAUCAAGAGUGAUCACCACAGAUUUGAUAUCUCAUGACUGUAAAUAAAUACCAGCCUUUCGAACGUUCAA